GGAUCUGAAGGUGAUUUGCCUGCACUGUUUGCCACCUCUUUGAUCACCAGAGUUGAAACUGCUGACCUGUUGCCUAGACCAGUAUUUCCUUCCUCCCUCAUCGUACCCCUCCAGAACCUGAGCACUCAGUCAGGAUGGCCUUCCCUUACAGAAAAGAACGAGUCUUUUGUAAAGAAUAGAAGAGUAGCUGCACUCGCCUACUAGAAAUUGUAGACAAUUUCUGAAGAUCCUUUUU
rnacentral:sRNA from 1 species